rnacentral:rRNA from 1 species
UAGGGAAUCUUCCGCAAUGGACGCAAGUCUGACGGAGCAACGCCGCGUGAGUGAAGAAGGAUUUCGGUUCGUAAAACUCUGUUGUUAGAGAAGAACAGCGCAUAGAGUAACUGUUAUGCGUGUGACGGUAUCUAACCAGAAAGCCACGGCUAACUACGUGCCAGCAGCCGCGGUAAUACGUAGGUGGCAAGCGUUGUCCGGAUUUAUUGGGCGUAAAGCGAGCGCAGGCGGUCAAUUAAGUCUGAUGUGAAAGCACCCGGCUCAACCGGGAAGGGUCAUUGGAAACUGGUUGACUUGAGUGCAGAAGAGGAGAGUGGAAUUCCAUGUGUAGCGGUGAAAUGCGUAGAUAUAUGGAGGAACACCAGUGGCGAAGGCGACUCUCUGGUCUGUAACUGACGCUGAGGCUCGAAAGCGUGGGUAGCAAACAGG